CUCAUGGCAGGUUGUCAUACAGACUCUGGAUUUUUUUCAACUCUUGUAAAUCGGGUAUAAUAUUUUUACAAGAUAUUAGCCAUCAUUAAGGUUGGACUGGCCCAGCUUUCUUGCACAUCAACUUCAUCUGAGGAAAGAAUUUUCUACCCAUAACAUAUGCUCCCUAUUUUCGAGCUCGAGCUAGAAUUAGAUCGGACUAAGGGAGUAC
rnacentral:lncRNA from 1 species